GGAGUAGUUCAGCUGCAGGGGAAGAGGGGAGGAUGUGGCCUGGCUGCUCUGGGUCCCUUUUUAGGCCACAAUGUGGGUGGGGGUGGAACCAAAGGCCCGGAGCCACGGAAGGUGAGUGUGGAGACAGUGGUUGAAAUCGGGUGGAUUAGGGAGAUGAAAAAGGGAGAAAGAUGAGAGGUAGGGGAUUAGCAGAAAAGAAGUGUCAACUCCAGAAGAGAAGCCUUGGGUUUUAUGGAAUGUGCUCCGUGUAAAAAAUAACUGCAUUUUGAUGUCUCUUCCAGGCUUUUCAUAGCUAGACAGCUGCAGAGGCAGAGAAAAAUGCAGAGGCUGAAGUGGGAGGAGUGUGUUCAGGAGAUGCCUGAUCUUCGAGAAAGGUCCCCGGCGGUGACCUGCACACGGUGCUCUCCCUUACCUCACACACACCUCGAAUACUUGGCCAUGCUGCUCAGGGGAUCGUGUCGUUCGUGUGGCACACUGUUUGUGAAGGUGAAUCUUGACAGUUCAAUACUGCAGAGGGAUCUGGAGAACAACAAAUCAUCGUAGUAGUUGACAAAUCAUUAAAGCCAGAAUCAGAAUUGUUGAUAAAGAGAAAAAGAAGAUCCCUUGUGCAGGUGAGACCUCUGUCUAGAGCACAAUGACCAAUCCUUGGUCAGUGUCAGCUGUGCACCCAGCCUGAGGAUGGGGCCCUCCCCAGAUCAACACACUUUCCAUGUCAGCUCUUUCAAAUGUUUGAAGAGACCACAGCAGUCAUUACCAUGCAUUUCAGAGCCAGUCACACCUGGGUUGCAGCCCAUGUCUGUCACUAACUGGCUAAGAAAAUGAGGACAAUGAUUUCACCUGUCUGAGCCUCAUUUGGCUCUUCGGGGAAUUAGGGGAAAUAAUUAGGCCCAGCCAUAGGUUCGUUGUGAAGACAGAGGGUAAUGAUGCAUGUAAAAUCCUGUAUGUAGAGCCCAGUGCCUGGCAGGCAACAUGUGCCAGUAAGUGAGAACCAGACAUGCAUUUGGACGCUCCUCUGUGGGGUUCAUAACUCAUGAGGUUAAGCCAGGGGAAGGCAGGUGAGAGCCUUUCCUUCUCACAUUUGGAUCAGGAAAGUAAUUUUACUGCUGCUGUCCAUCCCAAGGGAAGUGUAUGAGUCCCUGCCGCCCCCUCCCCCAUUAGGGAGGGAUCUGAGCCAGAUAGUGUUAUGAAGCUGGCCAUUCCUGCAGCCCCGUGACCACCAUUCCCAACUCUGGUUUUCCCAGCAGAGCCUCAUAACUUUGUUUAGUAUAAAGGACUGAGAAUUAUUAGAAACACUCUGGUUUUCUCUUUUAUCAUAUUCUGCAAGGGGCACAUGGAGUGGCAGACAUCCAGUGAUCCAUGUGACCCUCUGUGCCUGACUUGCCAGCCAUGGGCAUUUGACAAAUAUAAACAAAGGGUGCCUGCCCCUCCUGCCAGUGGAACGAUAUAGAAGCCGUGAAGAGUUCUGGGUGAGUUACUUACUAGACACCUAAACUUUUAAAUGACCUGUCCCAUGCUCCAGCCCA
rnacentral:lncRNA from 12 species